CGGCGUACGGGUGAGUAACACGUGGAUAAUCUACCUGAGAGUGGGGAAUAACUUUGGGAAACCGGAGCUAAUACCGCAUAAGCCUGAGAAGGGAAAGCUUCGUAAGAGGCGCUCACAGAGGAGUCCGCGGCCGAUUAGCUAGUUGGUGAGGUAACGGCUCACCAAGGCGGGGAUCGGUAGCCGGCCUGAGAGGGCACACGGCCACACUGGCACUGAAACACGGGCCAG
rnacentral:rRNA from 1 species